rnacentral:snRNA from 1 species
GGACAUGAAGAAGAAACACUUUGCGACAACUGUAUAU